rnacentral:rRNA from 1 species
UUAAAUUGAAGAGUUUGAUCAUGGCUCAGAUUGAACGCUGGCGGCAGGCCUAACACAUGCAAGUCGAACGGUAACAGGAAGUAGCUUGCUGCUUUG